rnacentral:snRNA from 1 species
GGCAACAGCCGAGUCAACAAUAAGACAAUCCCCUCGCCUUUUACUAGGGGAUUCCGUGGUGACUCGGCAAUUGAAUGUUGCCUUAUAAUCUUUGGAAACUCGCUCUUCGUGGGCU